UAGUCCACGCCCUAAACGAUGAGAAUUAGAUGUUGGGGGAAAUUUAAUCCCUUAGUAUCAUAGCUAACGCACUAAGUUCUCCGCCUGGGAAGUACGAUCGCAAGGUUAAAACUCAAAUGAAUUGACGGGGGCCCGCACAAGCGGUGGAGCAUGUGGUUUAAUUCGAUGCAACGCGAAGAACCUUACCUGGCCUUGACAUCCUCGGAAUUUUACAGAAAUGAGGAAGUGCCUUUGGGAACCGAGAGACAGGUGCUGCAUGGCUGUCGUCAGCUCGUGUCGUGAGAUGUUGGGUUAAGUCCCGCAACGAGCGCAACCCUUAUCCCUAGUUGCCAGCGAUUUGGUCGGGAACUCUAGGGAGACUGCCGGUGACAAACCGACGGAAGGUGAGGAUGAUGUCAAGUCAUCAUGGCCCUUACGGCCAGGGCUACACACGUGCUACAAUGGGUAGUACAAAGGGCUGCCAACCUGUGAAGGGGAGCAAAUCCCAUAAAACUACUCAUAGUUCGGAUUGG
rnacentral:rRNA from 1 species